rnacentral:rRNA from 1 species
GACGAGCCUCACAAACGUUAUUCGGAAUUACUGGGCUUAAAGGGUGCGUAGGCGGCGCGGAAAGUUGGGUGUGAAAUCCCUCGGCUCAACCGAGGAAUUGCGCUCAAAACUACCGUGCUCGAGGGAGAUAGAGGAGCGCGGAACUUAGGGUGGAGCGGUGAAAUGCGUUGAUAUCCUAGGGAACACCGGUGGCGAAAGCGGCGCUCUGGAUCUCAUCUGACGCUGAUGCACGAAAGCUAGGGUAGCGAACGGG